rnacentral:rRNA from 1 species
GGGAAGAGCUCAAAUUUAAAAUCUGGCGGCUUUUUUCGGUCGUCCGAGUUGUAAUCUGGAGAGGCAUUUUCCGCGUUGGACCGUGCACAAGUCUCCUGGAACGGAGCGUCAUAGAGGGUGAGAAUCCCGUCCAUGACACGGACCGCCAAUGCUGUGUGAUAUGCUUUCGAAGAGUCGCGUUGUUUGGGAAUGCAGCGCAAAACGGGUGGUAAAUUCCAUCUAAAGCUAAAUAUUGGCGAGAGACCGAUAGCGAACAAGUACCGUGAGGGAAAGAUGAAAAGCACUUUGAAAAGAGAGUUAAACAGUACGUGAAAUUGUUGAAAGGGAAACGCUUGAAGUCAGUCGCGUUCCUUGGAACUCAGCCUCGCCUUCGGGUUUGGUGUACUUUCCAUGUGAACGGGUCAACGUCAAUUUUGGCCGGUGGACAAAGGCGGGGGGAACGUAGCGUCGCUUCGGCGACGUGUUAUAGCCCCUUGUUGUAUGCACCGGCUGGGAUUGAGGACCGCAGCACGCCCUUUUUUGUGGCCGUGGGCUCGCUCUACGUACCGUGCUUAGGACGUUGGCAUAAUGGCUUUAAGCGACCCGUCUUGAAACACGGACCAAGGAGUCUAACAUGCUUGCGAGUGUUCGGGUGGAAAACCCUUGCGCGUAAUGAAGGUGAAAGGUUAGGAGCCCCUCGAGGGGGGGGGGGACCUGACGCCCGGGCCUGGAAGUUCCCUCUGACGCCGCUGCCGGCGAAGCAGGCAUGGUUGGGAACCGGAAAGAUUGGUGACUAAUGCCUGAAUAGGGCGAAGCCGAAGGAAACUUCUGGUGAAGCUCGUAGCGAUUCUGACUUGCAAAUCGAUCGUCAAAUUUGGGUAUAGGGCGAAGACUAUCGACAUC